rnacentral:rRNA from 1 species
UGGGGAAUAUUGGACAAUGGGCGCAAGCCUGAUCCAGCCAUGCCGCGUGAGUGAUGAAGGCCUUAGGGUUGUAAAGCUCUUUCGCCGGUGAAGAUAAUGACGGUAACCGGAGAAGAAGCCCCGGCUAACUUCGUGCCAGCAGCCGCGGUAAUACGAAGGGGGCUAGCGUUGCUCGGAAUCACUGGGCGUAAAGCGCACGUAGGCGGAUCGUUAAGUCAGGGGUGAAAUCCUGGAGCUCAACUCCAGAACUGCCCUUGAUACUGGCGAUCUCGAGUUCGAGAGAGGUUGGUGGAACUCCGAGUGUAGAGGUGAAAUUCGUAGAUAUUCGGAAGAACACCAGUGGCGAAGGCGGCCAACUGGCUCGAUACUGACGCUGAGGUGCGAAAGCGUGGGGAGCAAAACAGGAUUAGAUACCCUGGUAGUCCACGCCGUAAACGAUGGAUGCUAGCCGUUGGGGGGUUUACCUCUCAGUGGCGCAGCUAACGCCUUAAGCAUCCCGCCUGGGGAGUACGGUCGCAAGAUUAAAACUCAAAUGAAUUGAC